AUGGGGAUGGAGGUGAACGAGGGGGUUUGUGACCAGCACAGAAGAAAAGAAGAACAAUUUCUACAGCUGCAGCAGCACGCUGACACUCAGGAGGAGGCCGAGGUGUUCGGCUCAUCAGCUGCAGCAGUGCAGUCUCUCUACAAUGUGACUGAGAGCAGCAGGGUUUUUGUACGGCCACUAAACCUGUUUGUAUCACUGUGGUGGACUUUUGGUGGAGGAACCAAACUGUCUGUGGGCCGUCUCACCCGGCCCAGUGUGACGGUGCUGCCCCCCUCCAGUGUGGACCUGCAGCAGGAGAAGGUCACACUCGUGUGUGUGGCCAACAAGGGCUUCCCCUCGGACUGGAGGCUGACCUGGAAGGUUAAUGGGAACAGCUGGACCUCGGGGGAGAGUCACAGUGCUGAUGUUCUGCACACAGACGGCCUCUACAGCUGGAGCAGCACGCUAAGCCUCCGCUCGGAGCAGUGCAGGAACAAGCUGGUGACCUGUGAGGCCUUUAAGGAGAACCAACCUACUGUGGUGAGCACAGUGAACAUAGAGCAGUGCUUAGAGCUGUGAGCUCACACACACUUUACUCAGCUCACCUUCUACUGCUUCACUGUGUGUUACAUCUGGUCUUUACUGCUCAAAUGUCACAUUUUUAAAUAAAAGCUUUUGUUUAACCAUAAAA